GGGGGCGCAACGGUUUCGACCGGGUGAACCCGCGACGUGGAUGGCGCUCCGAGGUUUCAGGCUCCUCGUGAAACCCCUGAAAAAACGUUCACAUGCGAACAACAACCUCGCACUGGCUGCCUAACAAAAACAGGUAGUCACGACCGGCGUUCCUCGUCUGCGGGGGCGCCUGUGUCGACACUCAGCAGGCUGGCCGGCGUUCCCUGGUCUCAGGUGCGCCGGUGAGAUCACGGGGCUGAUCUGGCGAUCGAACCUGUCGACCGGUGCCCGCCAGAUGACGCUGUUCAUCGAUCGACUACGAGCGUAGAGGUCCACGUUUCGGCACCCUGGGACGCGGGUUCGACUCCCGCCGCCUCCACCA
rnacentral:tmRNA from 1 species